rnacentral:SRP_RNA from 1 species
GCCAGGUGUGGUGGCUCACGCCUGUAAUCCCAGCAUUUUGGGAGGCUGAGGCAGGUGGAUCACCUGAGGUCAGGAGUUUGAGACCAGCCUGACCAACAUGGUGAAAUCCUGUCUCUA